AAAAAUCCGCCGGGCUGAGAUGAGGCGUGAUGACGAGGCUCUUCGGAGCCGAAGCGAGUGAUACCCAGCUUCCAGGAAAAGCCUCUAAGCUUCAGUCUAAGAGUGACCGUACCGCAAACCGACACAGGUGGGCUGGUAGAGAAUACCAAGGCGCUUGAGAGAACUCAGGAGAAGGAACUCGGCAAAUUGAUACCGUAACUUCGGGAGAAGGUAUGCCCCUGGUACGUGAAGGCCCUCGCGGCCGGAGCGGAACGGGGUCGCAGAGAAUCGGUGGCUGCGACUAUUUAUUAAAAACACAGCACUCUGCAAACACGAAAGUGGACGUAUAGGGUGUGACGCCUGCCCGGUGCCGGAAGGUUAAGUGAUGGGGUGCAAGCUCUUGAUCGAAGCCCCGGUAAACGGCGGCCGUGACAAUAACGGUCCUAAGGUAGCGAAAUUCCUUGUCGGGUAAGUUCCGACCUGCACGAAUGGCGUAACGAUGGCCACACUGUCUCCUCCUGAGACUCAGCGAAGUUGAAAUGUUUGUGAAGAUGCAAUCUCCCCGCGGCUAGACGGAAAGACCCCAUGAACCUUUACUGUAGCUUUGCAUUGGACUUUGACGGGACUUGUGUAGGAUAGGUGGGAGGCUAUGAAACCGGGACGCCAGUUCCGGCGGAGCCAUCCUUGAAAUACCACCCUGGUGUCGUCGAGGUUCUAACCCAGGUCUGUGAAUCCAGGUCGGGGACCGUGCAUGGUGGGCAGUUUGACUGGGGCGGUCUCCUCCCAAAAGGUAACGGAGGAGUACGAAGGUCACCUAGGUACGGUCGGACAUCGUACUGAUAGUGCAAUGGCAAAAGGUGGCUUGACUGCGAGACCCACACGUCGAGCAGGUGCGAAAGCAGGUCAUAGUGAUCCGGUGGUUCUGUAUGGAAGGGCCAUCGCUCAACGGAUAAAAGGUACUCUGGGGAUAACAGGCUGAUUCCGCCCAAGAGUUCACAUCGACGGCGGAGUUUGGCACCUCGAUGUCGGCUCAUCACAUCCUGGGGCUGUAGCCGGUCCCAAGGGUAUGGCUGUUCGCCAUUUAAAGUGGUACGUGAGCUGGGUUUAAAACGUCGUGAGACAGUUUGGUCCCUAUCUGCCGUGGGCGCUGGAAGUUUGAGAGGGCCUGCUCCUAGUACGAGAGGACCGGAGUGGACGCACCCCUGGUGUACCGGUUGUGACGCCAGUCGCAUCGCCGGGUAGCUAUGUGCGGAAGAGACAACCGCUGAAAGCAUCUAAGCGGGAAACUCGCCUCAAGAUGAGACUUCCCCGGGGCCUCGAGCCCCCUGAAGGGUCGUUGAAGACCAUAACGUUGAUAGGCCGGGUGUGUAAGCGUGGCAACACGUUCAGCUAACCGGUACUAAUUGCCCGUGUGGCUUGAUCCG
rnacentral:rRNA from 1 species